rnacentral:rRNA from 1 species
UGGCGAACGGGUGAGUAACACGUGGGUAACCUGCCCAUCAGAGGGGGAUAACACUUGGAAACAGGUGCUAAUACCGUAUAACACUAUUUUCCGCAUGGAAGAAAGUUGAAAGGCGCUUUUGCGUCACUGAUGGAUGGACCCGCGGUGCAUUAGCUAGUUGGUGAGGUAACGGCUCACCAAGGCAACGAUGCAUAGCCGACCUGAGAGGGUGAUCGGCCACACUGGGACUGAGACACGGCCCAGACUCCUACGGGAGGCAGCAGUAGGGAAUCUUCGGCAAUGGACGAAAGUCUGACCGAGCAACGCCGCGUGAGUGAAGAAGGUUUUCGGAUCGUAAAACUCUGUUGUUAGAGAAGAACAAGGAUGAGAGUAAAACGUUCAUCCCUUGACGGAUCUAACCAGAAGCCAC